GCAUUUCUGUUUUCUCCCCUGUGUCUCCUCGCCUCUCCCUCUGUGUGUGCUCUCUCCCUCUCCGCCCUGGAGCCCGGCUGAUGACCCGCACCUGUGUCUCAUCAACCUCCACCUCCGCCCGCCACACCUGCCUGCCAUCAGCCUCAUCUUCAACAGUAUUUCUACCCCGGUUCUCCAUCUCCAUCUUCGCUUGAUCGUCGUCGCUCCAGUCCUGGUCCACUCACCUCCGCCAUCCAGUCAGUCAGCCGGGCUCGCCUACCUGCCUUCUCCCCUCGCCUCCGCGGCGUCCCUCCGGCUUCCCUCCGCGCUCCUCACCUCCCUCGCCUCGGCCUCCAGCCCCCUCUCAGUCGCCUCGCUCGAGCCUUGCCAGCCCCGCCUGCUCCUCGGUCCUCCGUGCCCACGUCUGCCGGCGUCCUGUUCACCUCAUCUUACCUCCCGACUCCCCUCUUUUCCCUCAAUAAACCUCUUUUGUAAACUGACAA